rnacentral:pre_miRNA from 11 species
AGAAAGACAUGGGUAGUGAGAUAGUUUCACCCUAUUGCACUGGGAUCUCACUACCUUGUCUUUC